rnacentral:misc_RNA from 1 species
CAAACCAUGAUCAAUAUCAGACGGGUCAUCACGCUCGCCGGAGGCAUAUGUUUGUUGGCUCCAGACUCUGGUGCUCCGGCGACCUUUGGGUGAAGCUCCGCCGUUGAGCUUGACCCUAGCUUGUUAAGUCCAGUGGGUCCCUCUUUUUCUCGCCCAUCAUCUUCUCCUUCUCCUUUACCAGCAAAACUGAAGUCCUCGCCAGGAAAUUCUCCAGCAUGUGCAAUGGCUUUGGUUUCCCCAU